rnacentral:lncRNA from 1 species
GCCAUCAGCAUCACACUGGAAACACUUUUCCUUUGCUGCAGCCUUCAUGGGAAUGUCCUUCUUUGGCUUGCUCUCUUUCUUCUGCUUCUUCGUGGGUUUACUCUUCUUCUUCCAACAAGACUUUCUCUUAGAUGAAGAAGUCCGCUCCACAGUGAGACAGUUCCUUUUGAACUUUUCAACAUUUCCUCAACAGUGACUAACAUGUCGAUCAGUUCGGGUA